rnacentral:rRNA from 1 species
AGGCGGGCUGGAACCUCUCGGGGUUACAGCCUUGCUGAAUUAUUCACCCUUGUCUUUUGCGUACUUCUUGUUUCCUUGGUGGGUUCGCCCACCACUAGGACAAACAUAAACCUUUUGUAAUUGCAAUCAGCGUCAGUAACAAAUUAAUAAUUACAACUUUCAACAACGGAUCUCUUGGUUCUGGCAUCGAUGAAGAACGCAGCGAAAUGCGAUAAGUAGUGUGAAUUGCAGAAUUCAGUGAAUCAUCGAAUCUUUGAACGCACAUUGCGCCCUUUGGUAUUCCAAAGGGCAUGCCUGUUCGAGCGUCAUUUGUACCCUCAAGCUUUGCUUGGUGUUGGGCGUCUUGUCUCUAGCUUUGCUGGAGACUCGCCUUAAAGUAAUUGGCAGCCGGCCUACUGGUUUCGGAGCGCAGCACAAGUCGCACUCUCUAUCAGCAAAGGUCUAGCAUCCAUUAAGCCUUUUUUUCAACUUUUGACCUCGGAUCAGGUAGGGAUACCCGCUGAACUUAAGCAUAUCAUAA